rnacentral:sRNA from 1 species
GUAUCUGCAAAUUCAGGUGCCGGGCUUUGCACCCCGAUUAUGAAACCGCGACAACAACACGCCGCGAGCGUGUUUUUU